GUCAUAGUCGUAGAGUGCCCGCACGCGCACUCCCUUGGAGUCGUCCUCAAAGGGGUUGGCGCCCCCGUUGGUCUCACUGCCCCCAAAGGGGUUCCCACUCUCGUCGUCUGACCACUCGGUGGCGUAGGGCUGGCCUCUGUCGUAGCUGCUAACACUGAGACGCGGAGGAAGGAGCCAGCUUCAAUGUCUCCCCGUACCGCAUCCCGAGGGCUAACCGCUCCUCCUAAUCAGAGCCCUGAUCCCGAAUUCUACCAAGGCUAGAGCAAGGAUUGGCCACAUAGGAGGGGUGACCCUCAUGAGCUCUUUAAACCGAUGUUUAAAUGCAGGACCAUUUGCGUUAUUAUUCAGCCCUCGAGGGAGAGGGCAUUGAAGGGGACCCCAGGGCACAUCUGAGCCUUCAUCCGGGAGGAGGAGUACCACCUAAUGUUUAAGAGCAAGGAUCCUGGAGUCAGACCUCCUGGGCAACAUAUCUGGCUCUGAGGUUUACUAACUAGCAAUGUGAUCUUGGGCAAGUCACUUAACCUGUCUGGGUUUCAGUUUCUCCAUCUGUAAAAUGGUAAUAUUUACGCACUUGAGCAUGAAUGAGUUAACAUAUGGAAAGUGCAUAGAACCGUGCCACACACAGUAGGUGCUCUAGAAGGAUAUGCUACC
rnacentral:lncRNA from 1 species